GAAAGGCGGGCUAAACCCGCGUACAUGCCACCGGGGCAUCCCGGAGGCAGGAAAGGCUUCGGCCGGACAGGGAUGGGCAUGCGGCGCAUUAGGCAGUAGGCGGGGUAAUGGCCCACCUAACCGACGAUGCGUAGGGGUUCUGAGAGGAAGGUCCCCCACACUGGUACUGAGACACGGACCAGACUCCUACGGGAGGCAGCAGUGAGGAAUAUUGGUCAAUGGUCGGGAGACUGAACCAGCCAAGCCGCGUGAGGGAGGAAGGUACAGAGUAUCGUAAACCUCUUUUGUCAGGGAACAAAGACUGGGACGCGUCCCCGGAUGAGUGUACCUGAAGAAAAAGCAUCGGCUAACUCCGUGCCAGCAGCCGCGGUAAUACGGAGGAUGCGAGCGUUAUCCGGAUUUAUUGGGUUUAAAGGGUGCGCAGGCGGUCUGUUAAGUCAGCGGUCAAAGCCCGGGGCUCAACCCCGGCCCGCCGUUGAAACUGGCAGUCUCGAGUUGGAGAGAAGUAUGCGGAAUGCGCGGUGUAGCGGUGAAAUGCAUAGAUAUCGCGCAGAACUCCGAUUGCGAAGGCAGCAUGCCGGCUCCACACUGACGCUGAGGCACGAAAGCGUGGGUAUCGAACAGGAUUAGAUACCCUGGUAGUCC
rnacentral:rRNA from 1 species